CCUACGGGAGGCAGCAGUGGGGAAUAUUGGACAAUGGGCGAAAGCCUGAUCCAGCAAUGCCGCGUGUGUGAAGAAGGCCUUCGGGUUGUAAAGCACUUUUGUCCGGAAAGAAAUCCUUGGCUCUAAUACAGUCGGGGGAUGACGGUACCGGAAGAAUAAGCACCGGCUAACUACGUGCCAGCAGCCGCGGUAAUACGUAGGGUGCGAGCGUUAAUCGGAAUUACUGGGCGUAAAGCGUGCGCAGGCGGUUUGGUAGGCCGGAGGUGAAAUCCCGGGGGCAAACCGGGAACUGCAGUGGUGACUGGCAGGCUAGAGUAUGGCAGAGGGGGGUAGAAUUCCACGUGUAGCAGUGAAAUGCGUAGAGAUGUGGAGGAAUACCGAUGGCGAAGGCAGCCCCCUGGGCCAAUACUGACGCUCAUGCACGAAAGCGUGGGGAGCAAACAGGAUUAGAUACCCUAGUAGUC
rnacentral:rRNA from 1 species